CCACUGCUGACAAGUUCCAAACAGGACGAAACAGCUGUCCAGUGC
rfam:Echinostoma caproni strain Egypt genome assembly, scaffold: ECPE_scaffold0000577